rnacentral:rRNA from 1 species
ACCGGCAGCUCAAGUGGUGGCCAUUUUUAUUGGGCCUAAAGCGUUCGUAGCCGGUUUGAUAAGUCUCUGGUGAAAUCUCACGGCUUAACCGUGAGAAUUGCUGGAGAUACUAUUAGACUUGAGGCCGGGAGAGGUUAGCGGUACUCCCAGGGGAGGGGGGAAAUCCUAUACUCCUGGGGGGACAACCUGUGGCGAAGGCGGCUAACUGGAACGGACCCGAGGGUGAGUAACGAAAGUCAGGGGCGGGAGCCG